CGGGUGAGUAAUGUCUGGGAAACUGCCUGAUGGAGGGGGAUAACUGCUGGAAACGGUAGCUAAUACCGCAUAACGUCGCAAGACCAAAGAGGGGGACCUUCGGGCCUCUUGCCAUCGGAUGUGCCCAGAUGGGAUUAGCUAGUAGGUGGGGUAACGGCUCACCUAGGCGACGAUCCCUAGCUGGUCUGAGAGGAUGACCAGCCACACUGGAACUGAGACACGGUCCAG
rnacentral:rRNA from 1 species